UAGUACGGCGAGUGAAGAGGGAAGAGCCCAAGAUUGAAAGCUGGCGUCUUCGGCGUCCGCAUUGUAAUCUCAAGAAGUGUUUUCCGCUUCGGACCAUGCCUAAGUCCCCUGGAAAGGGGCAUCAUAGAGGGUGAUAAUCCCGUACAUGGCAUGGAGCGCCCGAAGCUUUGUGAUACGCUUUCUAAGAGUCGAGUUGUUUGGGAAUGCAGCUCAAAAUGGGUGGUAAAUGCCAUCUAAGGCUAAAUAUUGGGGAGAGACCGAUAGCGAACAAGUACAGUGAUGGAAAGAUGAAAAGAACUUUGAAAAGAGAGUUAAACAGUACGUGAAAUUGCCAAAAGGGAAGGGUAGGAGGUCAGAGAUGCGUCUUGGGAUUCAGCCUUGCUUCUGCUUGGUGUUUUUCCCAAGUUUGCAGGCCAACGUCGGUUUUGGGCACUGGAGAAGGGUAGAAGGAACGUGGCACCUCUCGGGGUGUGUUAUAGCCUUCUACUGGAUACAGCGACCGAGACCGAGGACAGCAGCGUACUCGCAAGAGCGGGCCUUCGGGCACCUUUACGCUUA
rnacentral:rRNA from 1 species